rnacentral:rRNA from 1 species
GUUGCAGAACAUAAGUGUUGGGAAAGGACCACUGGUGCUCCGCUCUGUGUAGGCUUUCUGUGCAAGGCGACAUGCUUGAUUGGAGGCAAAAUGUUUAACGCCAUCGUGAAGGAACACAAGUGUGUUGGGCCAGCAUUGAGCAGCUACUGCUACUGCUAUUUCUGCGACAAAUAG